AUGUAUCAAUACCAUUUUAUGAAUAGUCAAGUUUUUUAUACACAAAAACAAUUACAGAAAUGUCACCCCAACAUUACCUUCUUUAAUGCAGAAGUCAAUUUAUACUUAAAACCCCUAAGAUUAAUCAAUUUACCAAAAGCAUAACAGUUUAUGAUAUUCUGAGCGAUACUAUCUGAGACGGUUUAUUUAGUCAUUGUUGUACCAACCAGCAUUUGGUGUCACUAUUAAACUCUGAAAUUGUUGUUUUCUUGUGUCUUGUGUAUUUGCACGUAUAUGUAUGCAUAUUGAUAAGUACUCUAUUUUAUUUUGUUUGUGCUUCCUUUUCAAUUGCUAUAUUCUUUCUACUAGUAUCCACCAUAUUUUGGGAUGUUUUUGGUUUGUGUUCGAUAAAGUUCUUUAAAAAAAAAAAAAAAAACUCUGAUUCAGCAUUUUAUGUACUCUUCCUGUUUCAGAAAUGUUAUAAACUGUGUACUUAUUUUGCAAUAACCUUCGAUCCCACUAGAGAGCCCUAUUGCAUUGCAGAUGAGCCAGAGACUGUACUUCUUCUGACUAUUGUAUUUGUGUUUUGUUAGGGCUGUACCAACUGAAGAUGGUGGACACACAAGCAUCCUGAAAGCCUCAAGAGGCUGAUGGCGUGGUUCAAACAGGGAAAACUGCAAUGUCGGGAGCACGUCACCAAAGGCUUUGAAAACAUGCCAGCUGCUUUUAAGGGGAUGCUGAAAGGAGACAACACUGGCAAAGCCGUUGUUGCUGUCUGAUGGAUGACCAAUAAAGGUCUUUACACAAUUAA